GGGUUAGUAGGUUGGUCAUGCCUCUGGUAUGUACUGGUCUCACUGAUUCCUCCUUUCUGACGAAUCUUAAUGCCAUUAAUUUGAUGUUAUGGGGAAUCAGGACUGUUACUUUGAAAAAAUUAGAGUGUUUAAAGCAGGCUCACGCUUGAAUACAUUAGCAUGGAAUAAUGAAAUAGGACGUUUGAUUCUAUUUUGUUGGUUUCUAGGAUCGACGUA
rnacentral:rRNA from 1 species